GUGAAAGCAGGUGCAAAGAGAAAAAUGGCAGUUGAAACGAACCGUUUAUACUUUGCUGCAUUGUAACUCGAGGACGACACAAGAUUUCAAACAGAAAAACCACAAAAAUUAAACAACAUUGGUUGAGUUAAGUCAACGAACAAGGACUGUGUUAGUUAAUCAAACUACCCGGAAGUCGAUGAGGGCGUCCCGCCAAACAAACUCAACCAUUAAAAGUGUUGGAAACCACAGAAUCUUCUAAACGAGUGACACGAUGACGUCAUACACUAUUCUGUGGAGCAACCAAUCAACGCCAAACAAACUUAACCAUUAAAAGUGUUGGAAAACUUCAACCGCAACCACAGAAUCUUCUAGACGAGUUCCUGUUUGCUGGAUCCUGUUUCCUGUUUUCCAGUUUGGCGUUCCUGGUUUGUGUCUUUUCUUUAUUUUUACUUUUGGACAUUAAAUAAUGUUUUCCCGCUCAAUGCCUAUCAUCAUCUCUGCAUCUUGGGGUUUGUCACCAACACAAUGUGACAUGAUCAAGAGAAGAAUAUCGACCCUAGCUUCCCUGGUCUGCUGACAUCAACUCCAAAACUGGACAGAUCUGCUUUCAGGAAAAGAGAGCGGAUGAGGGUGUUACAGGACAUUUUUUCGAACUCUUAUCGACAUUCACUGUUCUAUGAAGAGGAUGAUUAUCAAACUUUGUCAAGAGUGGAUAUUGGAGUUCAGAUAUACCCUGAUGUGAAG